GGGUUGUGAGGUUAAGCGACUAAGCGUACACGGUGGAUGCCCUGGCAGUCAGAGGCGAUGAAGGACGUGCUAAUCUGCGAUAAGCGUCGGUAAGGUGAUAUGAACCGUUAUAACCGGCGAUUUCCGAAUGGGGAAACCCAGUGUGAUUCGUCACACUAUCAUUAACUGAAUCCAUAGGUUAAUGAGGCGAACCGGGGGAACUGAAACAUCUAAGUUCCCCGAGGAAAAGAAAUCAACCGAGAUUCCCCCAGUAGCGGCGAGCGAACGGGGAGCAGCCCAGAGCCUGAAUCAGUGUGUGUGUUAGUGGA
rnacentral:rRNA from 1 species